rnacentral:lncRNA from 1 species
UUCAAGAAAUACCGUUUUAUCAUUUUGAACUUUAAUACCGUGAUAGGAAAUAGGGUGAGGGGUCCUUACUUGUUUUCGGAAUCCGAAUACGAUUCACAGUGCGCCUGCAGGCUGUCCCUAAUUUUCCCUGAAUUUUUCCCGGGGAACUGAAACACGCUAACAGUACCUGCACGUGUUCUAAAAAAAAUCCAAAUUAGGCCCAGGGCCUCUUUCGGCCCAAAUCGCAACUCCGGCACGGCGGCUCCGCCGUGCUCCGGCGACGGCGCCGCCGCUGGCGGCGGCGAGUCGCCUCGGGUUGGCUGUUUUCGGUCGUUUUCGGCCGAAUUCGGCCACACUCGCAUCGGUCCUUGUCAGAAAACAACCCUAGGGCCCUCGGGGGGCCAAAAAAAUCACGGAAAAGCGGAGCUUACCGGCGGCGGCGCUCUCGGGUACGGCGACCCUCCGGCGAGGUUCGUGUUUUGGUGAUUUGGCUUCGGUCAACCUGUAGAGAAAAGAAUGGUGAUCACGGUGAUAUAAAAAUUGCAUCGAACGGAGGCCGGGAAGGGCCUCGUCGGAGGCAAAAACCG